rnacentral:tRNA from 1 species
GGGGCGGUAGUUCAGCGGCCUAGAAUGCCAGACUGUCGAUCUGGAUGUCGCGGGUUCGAAUCCCGUCCGCCCCG